rnacentral:rRNA from 1 species
AUGGCGCGGAAGAAGAUCCGGGAGUACGACUCCAAGCGCCUCCUCAAGGAGCACCUGAAGCGCCUCGCAGGCAUCGACCUCCAGAUCCUCUCCGCGCAGGUCACACAAUCAACGGAUUUCACGGAGCUUUCAAACCAGGAGCCAUGGCUCUCGUCGAUGAAGUUGGUUGUUAAACCUGACAUGCUGUUUGGCAAGCGUGGGAAGAGUGGCCUUGUAGCCCUCAACCUAGAUCUUGCUCAAGUCCGCCAAUUUGUCAAGGAGCGAUUAGGAGUUGAGGUCGAGAUGGGUGGAUGUAAGGCUCCAAUUACAACAUUCAUAGUCGAGCCAUUUGUGCCACACGAUCAAGAGUAUUAUCUCUCAAUUAUGUCAGACAGGCUUGGUUGCACCAUUAGUUUCUCAGAGUGUGGUGGUAUUGAGAUUGAGGAGAACUGGGACAAGGUUAAGACAAUCUUUCUUCCAACAGAGAAGCCAAUGACACUUGAUGCAUGCGCUCCAUUGAUUGCCACUCUUCCCUUGGAAGUCCGCACGAAAAUAGGCGAUUUCAUUAGAGGGUCAUUUUCUGUUUUCCAAGACUUGGAUUUCUCAUUUAUGGAGAUGAACCCAUUCACCCUGGUAAAUGGUGAACCAUACCCUCUCGACAUGAGAGGUGAACUGGAUGACACAGCUGCUUUCAAGAACUUUAAGAAGUGGGGUGACAUUGAAUUCCCUCUACCUUUCGGAAGAGUCCUGAGCCCAUCAGAAAGUUAUAUCCAUGAACUGGAUGAGAAGACAAGCGCAUCACUGAAAUUCACAGUUCUUAACCCGAAAGGUCGCAUUUGGACAAUGGUUGCAGGUGGUGGUGCUAGUGUCAUAUAUGCCGACACGGUUGGAGAUUUGGGAUAUGCUUCAGAGCUAGGGAAUUAUGCAGAGUACAGUGGAGCUCCCAAAGAGGAGGAAGUUUUGCAUUAUGCUAGAGUGGUUUUGGAUUGUGCCACUGCUGAUCCUGAUGGCCGGAAGAGAGCUCUUCUCAUUGGAGGGGGUAUCGCAAACUUCACUGAUGUCGCUGCUACAUUCAGUGGCAUCAUUCGGGCUUUAAGAGAGAAGGAAUCCAAAUUAAAAGCUGCAAGGGUGAACAUUUAUGUUCGCAGAGGUGGUCCAAACUACCAAACUGGACUCGCCAAAAUGCGUGCUCUAGGAUCAGAGCUUGGUCUUCCAAUUGAGGUCUAUGGACCAGAGGCCACAAUGACUGGAAUCUGCAAGCAAGCCAUUGAUUGUGUCAUGGCUGAAGCAUGA